UCCCAGACUUGUCACGUGCUUGAUUCGUCAGGGUGCGUUUAAAUUAAAACAUUUUCGCGGUUACAUCCUCACGGAAAUAGCUGUAUUGGGUGAACACCAGAUACAGAGAAACAAAAGGCAGCAAACGCGUACAUCAAUGCGUUUAUUCGACAAGAAAACCUAUGAGGAAAUGUCAUCUUCUGUGUGCAUGGACGAGCCCCACUGUCUCAGAUGGAAUCCAGACUGUGCCAGUGCUGACUGUGGCCGUUAACUCCAUAGGGUGAUGCAAAAUCGGCGAUUGCAACACCCAGGGUGUGAGCUGGGAGCGGAGAACGACGAGAGCCACGUCCAGCUCAGCCCUACUGCGCUUUCUGCACCUUCCCGGCUGGACGGCCGGAUGAACUCUUUGUGUUGCCGCGAGACGAAGUUGACCGCCGCGUACUCCAGCAGCGCCGCGAACACGAACAGCAGGCAAACCGCCAUCCAGAUGUCAAUGGCCUUCACGUAGGACACCUGCGGCACACCACGUCAGAGCAUCAGUCAGUAAUCAAUCAGAGAGGCCCGUGAGCCGGAGCUCUGCGUGGUCAUGGUCAGGACCGUGGUGAUCCCCAGCCCCACGCGUGCCGGCGCGGCGUCCAUGUUGAUCCAGAAGGACACCCAGGAGAGGAUGACGAUGAGCAGGCUGGGGAUGUACAUCUGGAUCAGAACAAACUGUGGGAGCAUCAGAUCAUCAGCAACCUGAACGGGGGCUGUCUCCAGCCACUCAAAAAUCAGGUCGUUCAUGGUGUAGCCAACUGUGGGGAGCAAGGGAGAGUGGGGGAAAGAGGGUGAGAGAGAGAAAAAAGAGAAAAAGAGAAAGAGAGAUCCCUCACUGCAGCUACAAUGCUCACAUCCUCUUCAGCCUGUUUGUCAUGGCGAAAGGUCACCUGUCUACAGCUUCAAUGGGGCCUGCUGGUCGCCUGAAGUUCAGGCACAAGGACGAACGUGAUUAGCAUGCGUUCCUCCGUCUGUCUGAGGUUGUUUGCAGGCUGAGAUAGCCAGCCACAUAAUGAAUGGGUUUCUGGGACCUACAGACAUUUGUAUGGUAGGAGAACCAUGCCUGCAGAUCUGUCAUCGCAGCCUCUGGAAUUCUACAGAUAGAUGUUUCCAUUUACCAGGAAGCCAAGGCAGGAUAACUGAAAUAACCAUGAUUAUUUUAGCCAAAAUGUUCCCUCGACCAUCACCAUCACCAUCCCCCUCAUGCUCCCGUACCUCUGAUCAUUCAAUUCAUCUUAGCGGAGUGAGAUUAGAGACCCAUUAAACAUGCAUGAAGCAUGCAAUAACACUGCAGAAUGCUUGACACGUUUGAAUAAUACCGAUGUCUAUCGUAGCCCCUUGAGGCUGUGUGUUACAAAGGCAUCAAUAAUUCAAUAUAUUACCCACCCCCACCCACAUUUUAACCAGUGGCCAGCAAACAACAAAGCCAUUAAACGUAACACAUCUUGCUCAUGAAGACUGAUUGCGUCAUUCAGUAUACGUCUCUCUCUCCUUGGAAAUGAGAACAUCAGUAGGGCAAGCAAUGCGCUUUUCUUACAGUUAUAAGUGUA